rnacentral:rRNA from 1 species
GAGUUUGAUCAUGGCUCAGAUUGAACGCUGGCGGCAGGCCUAACACAUGCAAGUCGAGCGGUAGCACAGAGAGCUUGCUCUCGGGUGACGAGCGGCGGACGGGUGAGUAAUGUCUGGGAAACUGCCUGAUGGAGGGGGAUAACUACUGGAAACGGUAGCUAAUACCGCAUAAUGUCGCAAGACCAAAGUGGGGGACCUUCGGGCCUCAUGCCAUCAGAUGUGCCCAGAUGGGAUUAGCUAGUAGGUGGGGUAACGGCUCACCUAGGCGACGAUCCCUAGCUGGUCUGAGAGGAUGACCAGCCACACUGGAACUGAGACACGGUCCAGACUCCUACGGGAGGCAGCAGUGGGGAAUAUUGCACAAUGGGCGCAAGCCUGAUGCAGCCAUGCCGCGUGUGUGAAGAAGGCCUUCGGGUUGUAAAGCACUUUCAGCGGGGAGGAAGGCGAUAAGGUUAAUAACCUUGUCGAUUGACGUUACCCGCAGAAGAAGCACCGGCUAACUCCGUGCCAGCAGCCGCGGUAAUACGGAGGGUGCAAGCGUUAAUCGGAAUUACUGGGCGUAAAGCGCACGCAGGCGGUCUGUCAAGUCGGAUGUGAAAUCCCCGGGCUCAACCUGGGAACUGCAUUCGAAACUGGCAGGCUAGAGUCUUGUAGAGGGGGGUAGAAUUCCAGGUGUAGCGGUGAAAUGCGUAGAGAUCUGGAGGAAUACCGGUGGCGAAGGCGGCCCCCUGGACAAAGACUGACGCUCAGGUGCGAAAGCGUGGGGAGCAAACAGGAUUAGAUACCCUGGUAGUCCACGCCGUAAACGAUGUCGAUUUGGAGGUUGUGCCCUUGAGGCGUGGCUUCCGGAGCUAACGCGUUAAAUCGACCGCCUGGGGAGUACGGCCGCAAGGUUAAAACUCAAAUGAAUUGACGGGGGCCCGCACAAGCGGUGGAGCAUGUGGUUUAAUUCGAUGCAACGCGAAGAACCUUACCUGGUCUUGACAUCCACAGAACUUUCCAGAGAUGGAUUGGUGCCUUCGGGAACUGUGAGACAGGUGCUGCAUGGCUGUCGUCAGCUCGUGUUGUGAAAUGUUGGGUUAAGUCCCGCAACGAGCGCAACCCUUAUCCUUUGUUGCCAGCGGUCCGGCCGGGAACUCAAAGGAGACUGCCAGUGAUAAACUGGAGGAAGGUGGGGAUGACGUCAAGUCAUCAUGGCCCUUACGACCAGGGCUACACACGUGCUACAAUGGCAUAUACAAAGAGAAGCGACCUCGCGAGAGCAAGCGGACCUCAUAAAGUAUGUCGUAGUCCGGAUUGGAGUCUGCAACUCGACUCCAUGAAGUCGGAAUCGCUAGUAAUCGUAGAUCAGAAUGCUACGGUGAAUACGUUCCCGGGCCUUGUACACACCGCCCGUCACACCAUGGGAGUGGGUUGCAAAAGAAGUAGGUAGCUUAACCUUCGGGAGGGCGCUUACCACUUUGUGAUUCAUGACUGGGGUGAAGUCGUAACAAGGUAACCGUAGGGGAACCUGCGGUUGGAUCACC